GAGGAUAUGAUCUAGUUGAUUGCCUGAGAAAGUUAAAAAAUUUCCCAACCAGCCUGAGGUUCUCUGUUGACUCAUUUUCAUAAGACAUUUAAGUACUAUGGCAAAUGCUUGCCAGCCUUUUAGGCAAGUAAGGUGAGACAUUUCAAGAAACACACAGCAAAAAUUAUUUCAGUGUCCCAAUUUCCCAUCCAUCCUUCCCAACACGUACAGAGUAGCUGCACUGAGAAGCAGGUGAGUUGCUAAUGCAGAUUAAUUUGUCCUUUGAGAAGCCACUGCAAUUAAUCCAGUCGGUAACCCCUGAACAAAGAAAUACUUCCGUGACACAUCAGUGUUUCCAGAUUUGGAAAGGAUUUGACAAAUGCCAAACUGAACUUGCACAGCAAGUGAACUGUGGUGGAGAAAAGAGUGUGCAGCCUCCAGAGGAGGGCAUGGAGUACCUAAGAGGGUAAAUAAGCUACUUGCUCAAUGGUAACAUUUAUUUUAUUUUAUUUAGAUGCUUGGCAGUAAAGAAGGGUGUUGGAGGAUGUCAGAGGUGCUUCAGAAAAGCCUGCUGGUGACUAGAAAUAUCUUCACUUUCUGUUAGCAUGCAGGUAGCCUGCCCACAGCCGCCCGAAUUCUGACUGUAUUACCUCAUGAGGCAUGAGAUGUGCUCCAACAUGUGCUGGCAGGAGCAGUCGGAGAAGACUGGCUACAGAAGCUCAUCAAGAAAUGCAAAAGGCAUGACCUGCUAUCUAAGUCCCUGCGGUCACAGAGUAGGCAAGGGGACUUCGUGCUGUGGUUUACCUUGUGACUUCUGGGGCUUUUGGGAUGUCCUGAGGAACCACAUGAUCAGCAGACACAUUCCCUCUUCUGCCAACACAGGAGCACCCUCUAACAGUGCCCGUCUCCCAGGAUGCAAGAUUUGCCGAGGCACAGGUGAUGGAGCGUCCCGGCAGAGAGCAGGAGCCCUCAGCUGGAGGUCUGGGGUGACAUGCAGCUUCUCUGAGUUACUUCUCUGACCAUUAUCCAAGACUCACAGAAGAUGUGCUGGAUGAGCUGAUGAGCCUUUUGUACUGCAGAUCUCCUCAAAACGCUGCAGGGUCAACAGCACAGUGCCAAACUAGAAUCAAUGAGGCCUUACGCAGACACUCAAGAAUAACAAGUCAACCAGUGGAUUUUCAAGCAGACUGUAACAGCUUGUUAUCUGAUGUCCCCUGGGCACAAACACUGAGACAUCUGCAGUUUUUGACCUUUUUUUUUGUCUCUGCUGGCUCAAUAGCUAGUUAGCUGGUCAUUCAAUGUGAAAACAAAACAGAGGAAAGGAGAGCAAAUUGCAAUAGGCAGGAGAUGCUGGACAGUUAGGAUGCCAAAAGGACUGGAAAUAUCUAAGUACAGAGGUUGCUUUGCUCUGCUUUAUUAUUUGUGCAUUAAGCUCUCUGAGUUGGUUUUUGGAACUCUGUUAAAAGCAGGGUUUUCAAUAUGCCAGUUGUCACCGAACUUUUAUGUUGGUUUUAUUUUGCAUAUAUUUUGCAUCUCUAUUCUCUUUGCUUGGCGCUGCAAGUUAGAAAUUAACCUGAAAAACACACGUUGAGACUUCACUGACUUUCCCAGACUUUUUUUUUGUCUGAGAACACAAAGCUCUCUUCAUAGCAUCUCCUCUAGUUCCAUCAAGGGGAGGGAAGAUCCCCAGAAGACUGACUUCUGGAUCAUCCUUUGUACUGAGAUCUCAGUUCCUUGGAAUGCAGUGACUGCACUAGCUUAUAUGCACGGGGGUGUGGAGCCUCCUUCCUGUUUCUAGGCUCUUGUUAAUAAAGAGUGUGCCCACAUUCUCA
ensembl:lncRNA